GAUGGAAAGAGUGAUGAUAAUGCCAAUGAGGUGAUCUGAAGCCUCGCUCAUAGCUGCUCUAAAUGCAGCCACAUAAAGCAGUAGGAUUCUGCUGGUGACAUUUGGACCACAAAUGAAGUCCCCGAGAGUAAUAAACAAUCAGGUAAAGAAAUCUGGAAAGAAAUUACCCAGCACACCUCGUCUUCUUGGCCCCCACGAGAUCCAUAUAAAAUGUGUUAAUGCAUCUGAUUAUGAUCUAAAUUACAUCCAGAGGCUCCUGCCAAGCACUCGGUGAAGUUUCUUUAUUGUUAAGUUGGAAGCUGUUUAAGAACGGUCCAGUCAUCGUGUUUCAAAUUAGAUUUGGGAAAAAAAACAUUCUCCUACUUCUGCUGGCUCCUACCACGGGUCUGUGGGAGAAAGUCGAUGUGUGGUUUUUCUCUGCUGAAGUGAGAGCAGGAGAAGUGGUGACAGCACUAAAGGAGCAAGUCAGCCUAUUGCCUGUCCUUGUAUCGUGACCCGAGCUGAGCAGAUUUACUGUAUGUUGACAUGCCAGAAAGUGACUGCAAAUGCAGCUGGCUUUUGAGAUGCAUUUCUCCUGAAAAGGGAGAAGAACCACCACAGUGCUUUCACACACACUCCUACCUUCCACACACUACAGAACCUGGAAAUAGUUUCUGAAAAUGUUAGGUUUGAUAAGAAUGGCUUGAAAAGCAUCACGCAAGACUUCCUCCGUGCCUGCAAGGAUCGGCUUAGCUGUUGCUCUGGCCCAAACCAGCAAAUCACUGUGCUCUUGGAGGCAGGCAAGAAAGCUGUUUUUCUCCCCUCACUUGCACUUAAACCCCAGACCAACCCAAGCUGUGUUAUCUUCUGCUGACAUCCAGCCUUUGCUGCACUGCUCAGCACCGGCUCCCCCUCCACUGCUGGCUGCACAUGUUAGAGGCAGAGCCAAGGUCACCUUGCUCAGGAUGUUGGGUUUUUUUUAAAGGCAAGGUCCACAUAGAUUAAAGAUCUUCCAUCUAUUACCCCUGCCCUUCAAAACACACAGCUGUAGCAACAACCACAUAAAUAUACACUGGAAGGGCCCGACAGGAAACAGCUAGCACAUAAUAGCUCUCACAUACUUACUUUGCACUACCCGUACGUAUAUAUACACACCACAAAUAGCUGUCUGCACCUCCUCUCAAGGUGCACAGCUCAUCAUCAGCACGGGUCAUCACUCUUCAUAUUCAUAGCCACUGUCCAGCAUAGGAGGCAUCUGAAGGUACCUACCCCUCCCAGUCCCUGUGCUAUGUGAAGACAUCAACUGAUACAAAUAACUGCUGGCUGUAACUGAUAUUGCUCCAUAGGAUGACGUUAGAAGCCAAGCAUCAGAAAGCAUAUUUAAGAGAAGCCUGUACUACCCAGCACGUGUGUGUUAGGGCUCAUGUUUGGGCAGCUCAGCUUUCACCUCCAGAGACCUACAACAGAGCAGCAAGAUAAACAAUGCAGAGACUAGGAGAGAUGUUAGACCUGAUGACAUCCUCGGCCUUUUAGUGUUUUCUCCUACAAGUAUUAACAAGGCAACAAGGUUAUGACUGUGAGCAGCACUCUUGCUUGCAGUGAAACUCAGUGUAAAGAUGAAAUUUGGAAGUCAGUGUGUGCAGAACUCAGCCCAAGCCUUGUAUCAGCAGCUCUGCAGGAAAUUAGAGCUAGAACUUCCAUUUCUAGCCACCACUAUAAUGCAGGGGUUUCAAUACCAAAGAUGUUUUAAUGAAGGAUCACAGGCUGGAUCUCAGCCAGUCGACAGCACUGUUAAAAGGAAGUCUUUAUCUCAACAAAACACUUACUGAACAACAUGCUAGGUGCUUGAAAAUAAAGCCUACGCUAACAACCAGAUUUUAACCUGAAAUCCUGCAUGUUGGCAUUCUCUUCUGCUGCAGGUAUAACUGAUUCCCUUGCACAGCAUGCUUAUUUUCUCUCCUUCUAAAGGAAAAAGAAAAAAAAAGGAAUUUUCUCUUUCAGCUUAACUUUGAGGCAAGAUGGAAGACCACAGCCUUCCUCAAAGAAGUGAGAUCUUUUGAACUCCAAGUCAGCAGGCUCUCACAGGAGCUGAGCUCGGGGGCUGUUCUGGAAUAAAUCAAAAAGGAUUUACUCUUUCACUCAAACAAGGCAGAAAAAAAUCCCCUAGAUGUACAGAUUUUCAGCUGGGGAUACGAAGUUAGUUAAUAGGUUCAAAAAUAAACCAAAAACCAAAAAUGGAAAAAAUGGAAGAAAAAAGACAACUUACAGGAGUGUCAUUAUGGCUUGAUUGCCAUGAUCCUGUAAGCUAAACGCUACCUGCAUGACUGGAUUUCCUGGAGGAAGUCAUCAGCACAGUUGCUAAGUCUGCUGGAAGCAGUUCAACCCAUGUACAUGUGGAGCAGAUGCUCUGAACUCAACACAAGGACACAGCACUCCUGCAGAACUCUGUGGACAGCAAGUCAAAACAGGGGCUCGAACUGGUCAUGCAUCAUCAGAGAUGCAGCUGUGAUUUCUCAGAGAUUAUUAGAGUUUGAGGGCAGAUGGGACCCCAAGAGCACCCAGUCUGCUUCUUGCUGUGUCACAGACCAUUACAUUUCAUCCAAGCUUUCCUAAGAGCAGGAGUUGGAUCUGGCAGCCUUAAAUAACUGCGUUCCCAGUAACAACUCAUGUGCUAUUUGCACCACAAAACCCCUGCUGCCUCAAUAGAUUUGCCUGGGAUACAACAGCCCUGUAGUGCCCUUGUGCCUUUGGCUCCUGGUUCAAGCCCAGAUUCAUCAGCAGUUUCAUCAGUACUUCAGAGCUCAGUGAUGAACAAUUCCCAUCCUCUGGCUUCCUUACAGGAGUGAUAGGAGAGUUGGGGAAGAAGAAAUGUGCUGCUGGCAGCAGCCUCCAGCCUCUGCAGUGAGAUUGCCCGUGCUCCCCUGUCAAUCACACACCCCCAUGGUAGCUGUGCAUCAGCAGCCCAUGGACUAAUCCCUACAUGGCGAGCCUACCUAGGCUAUGAAGUUUUUAGAGGUAAGAAGAGAAAUGUGCAGAUCACGCACAUCAUUUCAGAGCCCAACCUCCCUGCAGAGCUGUGUGCCAGGAUUGGGAUCCUCAGCACACAAGCAAGCUCAGCCCGUUCAUGACUAUCAGUGCUUCUUUAAAAAAACAGAAUUUAAACAGCCGAAAUCAGAAUCUUGUGAAACAUCACUUCUUCACCUGCAGCUCUGCCAAGUGAAGUUGGCUAGGGCUUUCAGCAAAUUGCAAGUGAUUAAAUGAAAGAGUGGGUGGCCAAGCACAUAAAGGGCUUGACUCAGAUUCUGUGAGUGACACCAUAUUGGUGCUGUCCAGCUUUUCCCAUCUGUUACCAUUACUGUAACGUGUAUGGUGAGAAGGGAAAACAGUGCUGGAAAAUCACAGAGAUGUUUUGGUAGCUGGUUAAAAUGCAGAAGAAGAGCACCAGUUUCAUGGAAGGUGUGGAGCAGAUCAGUACUGCAGAGCUUGGGUGUGCCUUACCUUCUGCACUGCUUCUUGGCUCAGAGCUGUCCUGCAUCACACAUCAAUCCUUCACUACUUUUCUUCUUUCUCUUAGUGUUGAUCUCAAGGGUGCUUCUCCUCUUUAAUACAAAAAACAAACAGAACCAUAUGUACUUAAGAAACACAUUACCCAUUGCCUAGAGGCAUUGUGCAAAGAGAUGCUGCCUAUUAGCAUGUUGGCUAAAAACAUGCAUUCCAGAAGAGAUUUGUGAAGGACCAAUGCUCCCAUGGAGCUGAACUGGGCUGGAGGCAACAGGCAUACAGCAAGGGACACCUUGGGUGCCACAAUGCCCCAGGUCAGGAGGAACGGCCCCAGAAGCGCAGUGAGAAGUGACCAGCACAUUUCACAAAUACCAGGCUCUGAACAAGAAAGGAGGGAUAUUUCAAGUCUUUCAUAGCUAAUGGCAGGAGAUGAAGGUCACCAGCUCUGCGCUCCAUCAGCACAAAGCCAGCUUGCAGCGAACACCUACAGGGAUGGUGACUCCACCACCACCCCGGGCAGCCUGUGCCAAUGCAUUAUUACUCUUUCAGAGAAGAAACUGUUCCUAAUAUCCCAUGUGUUCUCAGCUCCCUUAACAUAAAACUCUUCCACAACAGCACUUGGCAGCCGACAGCUCUGUAGUACACACACUCAACUAUUUCCCACCAAAAAAAGGCAGCUACUUCACUCCGUCAGUGCCAAGGGGAGCACCACAAGUCCCCUGCCCUGUUCCACGACACCCCAGGAACUCUACCAUCAGAUCCAGAUUCAACCCAGUAACUCCCAGUAAUUCCUCAUCCUUUUUCCCUAGUUCAAAACCCACUCCAGACACACUUCAGCUGCAAAUAAUCAUUUAAACAUACAGAAAACCGAACCAAAACAAAGUACCUUUUGCUAACUGAAGCUUGAGGGUGCAGGACUGCUGCUCAGCAGCCGACGUCUCUGCUGCAUGUGGCAUUCCCUUUUGUUUCAGAACAUAAGUGCUGUGGAUCAGGGCCAUCCCCAUCCUGCCUUCAUACUCCUACACAGCUCUGGCAGCCAGCACAAGCGGCACGUCCCAAGUCUCCCUCUUCCCACCCUUACUGUUACUAACGCGUUCCAUGCUCACCGCCUAAGCUCAGCUGUCAGGGACAAGAAUGGAGCUUUGGUGGCUGCUGCUGGGCUCUGGCACCGAAGUUGGCAGCUGCCUAUAAAAGCUCCUCCAUCCUCUUCAGUUCAGCUGGCAAAAUGCUUCCCGAGCUCCUGCAUCUCUGAGUUGAGAAGAAGUAAACACGCUGCAAAGGGAGCUCUUCUCUCUUGCAAGCUGCAAGGGAUGGCAUGUUUCCAUCUGCAAAAGGCUACAAGAUGUCUGCAGAAACAGGAACUAAUAGCCAUGGCCACUCCAAUCCCAGCUCCUCCCAGAACUCAAAGCUCCUUCCAGAGUUCCUCAGAAACCACAAGUGAUGGUGUUACUCAACAGCCACAGCCGAGGAUUUUAUUUCAACAAGUCCUGCAAAAUCCAUGAGCAACAGGACACAAACCCAGCAUGUGCACACUGUGCUAGCUGGCAAGGCUUUAGUGCAAGCUUUGAACACACACAGUUCACAAAAUAAAAACCUAUAUUGGUUAAUUCUUUAAGGCAUUGUCUAUUCUGGGCCCGUGAAACUCAAGACACACAGCUCGUGGGGCAAACUACUUAAGAAUGAGGCCAAAUUGCAAGCACCUUUUAACCCACUGCUCAGUGGGAUGCUCAAACUUGCAUCAUCCACGCUAAUCACUCUCCUGAGUCUUUCAAGCGUGAUUCUAACACGAAGGUGCUCAUGGGAUGAACAACACCUGGCAAAAAGAGCAAUGCCUCUUCUCUAACAAACUCUGCAUACUACACAAUGUAAAAAUUACAAGAUACAUUAAUGGCAGCGGUGACAGUACAACAUUAACAGCAGCAAUAUUACACUACCACCAGCUCACCCUGAAAGAAAGGCUGUUUCUCUCCCUAGUCUCCAUCAGAGAUGCAGUGGCAAGGAGCUGUUACGGCUACAUUUUAUUUUUUAUUAGUUCUUACAAGCUAACUAUGCUAAAAGGUUGCAUCAGGAAUUCAAACUGCAGUUGUCAGCAGAAGUGAAGGACAUUGUGGGAUACAUUUUACUCAAGCUCUUUUAUUGCUUGGCUUCUCGGAGUGAUUCAAGCAGGACUCGAGAGGUACUGUCGCAACAGUAUCUGGCCCUUAGCAAGCUGCCAUUUAAUAACAAAUAAAUAAAUGCAACCAGCAGCCUUUACAGCACUGGCUGGACCAGCAGAACAAGAGUCAACAACUGCAGAUUGCUACCAAAGUGCUCCCUAUGGGGAUGUGCCUUCUGAGAUGUUACUCGCGCCUGACAGAAGGGUGGUGGUUCCACAGCUCAUGGGAAACAGUGAUUUCUGCAGCCAUGCACACAUCUGUGACACGGUAACACAGCUGACUUCACCUCCCCUAGGCUGAAAAUGAAGUGUGGGAUCUGCCGAGUGGUGUGAUGGGCUCUGCAUUGAAUGGACUGCAGAGGGAUGGAACAGGCUGUAAUUGGGUUUGGUGUGUCCUGCCCACUACUGCCCUAUCACUCAGGUGCAGGUAAUGCCACUUCCCUGAGUGUCAGUCUCAAGAGGAGAGGGCAGAGGGCUGGAAUACAGCAUGACUGGCUCAGACCCAGGCCAAGAAAGACUCAAACAGCACUGGCACAAGUAGAAAUGCUUUCAAGAUUCCCCAGACAGCAGGCAGCUGCUUUUUGUCCAGGCACCAUGUGGGGGUUCUGCUGGACUCUUCUCUACUGACAAUCAAAAAAUGACUUAAUUUGCAUCAGUUAUCCCUUCAACUUGUUGCUGUGCACCACCUGAAGUGCUUGGAGCUGGAAGGGAUGCUGAUCUUCACUCCCAUCCAGCUCUGCUGGGCAGAGCACAUCACGCUGAUCCAAUGUCUCCUGGCUGCCUGCCUGGCACAGCACCCGCUGCUACAUCCCAGAAUGAGAACUAACCUGGAACAGGGAAGAGCACAGUAUCUUGAGGGAGAGCAGAAGGACCACUGAAUCCUGACUCAGAAGAAGACAGAAGGCAGCUGAACCCAGGUCACUGCUUGCCUGGGGCACGGGCAGAGGCAGCCUUGCUGUCUGCAGAUCUCAAUUAAACCACUGAGCUGAAGCAAGAGCCCAACCUAUGUAUCCUAGGGCAAAAGGCAGCUUUAUUUGGUGCUUCCAAAGUGUCCCUGUUAUGAAGGUGAAGUUUCCUGCAGGAGCUGAUGUUCUACUGGUAAUUUAUUUGACCUGCAGAGACAGAAGCUUCAGCACAGUUUUCAACCACAAGAAAUUCCCACACCAACAGUCUCAGCAACUCCAAGACGAAACCACCCAACCCCCUAACCCUGACCCCAACCACAACGCUGCUGCCUGCUCUAUUGCAAAAUGGCUUGUUGUCAGGUCUCUCCACGUCACCCUCUGCAUGUGCAGACACUGCACCAAGAGAGCUCUAUGUUGCCCAGAGUGAGAGCUGAAGAUGCCACUGUGCCAGGCAAGCAUGCCUUUAAGUCUGUGGGAACAAACAGAACGUGCUUUGUGAAGCACAGGCUUUUUAAGCAGAGAUGGCUCUUGCAACCAGACGUGGGAUUUUGUCACUUUUAAGCCUGGGAGCUCUUUUUUACUGCAUUAAAAGUAAGUGCUUCAGGUCACCUUUGAUGCAAAGAGUCACCUACAAGGAGGCAGCUGUCAGAUGGUGCCUCAGUAAUGCAGUAUCUGCUCCUUAUCUAUGGGCUCAGAGCCUCGUGAACGCCUGUGCCAUCUGUACAUUGCAUGUCUGUACUCCAAGUCCCACAGACACUUCUUUGAUGUGUUGGCCUUCGGUGAGCUGGAGCUCCUAAAGGUCUUUGAAGACAACAGCAAUCUGCAUAGAAUUAUAUACUUAAUGGAUAAGGGUCCCUCCAUUCCUUGAAACACAAGUUUCUAGUGUUAAAAAAAAAUACACACGAAUUAAAUUGCAUUUCAGUCUUUAAUUCUCAUUCAUUUUGUUAAGCAAACAGGGCUGCAUUUGGCACAGAUGGAGGAGAAUGGCACACACCACACAGACAGUGCUCACCAACAUCUGCUGCCCACACCGCUGUCAGACUUAACCUGGCUCCUGAUCACUGCUGUCCACGGGAGGAAGGCAGCUCUCUCUGCUGCAGAGAAGGAGCUCCAGUGAGCUUAUGCACAUGUAAGAAUCACUUGGAAAAGUAAAAAAAGAGUAUGGCUGCUUAGGGCAAAGCUAAGUCAUUGAGUACGUUGGACCAGGCUGGAUAUCAGGAAAAAAUUACUUUCUGAAAGAGCAGUGCUGCAGUGGCACAGCUGCCCAGGGAGGUGGUGGGGUCACCGUCCCUGGAGGUGUUCCAGAACUGUGGGGAUGUGGCACUGAGGGACGUGGGCAGUGGGCAUGGUGGGGUGGGUGGGGGUUGGGCCUGGGGAUCUCAGAGGUCUUUUACAGCCUUUAAGAUUUCGUGAUUAUAACAGGUGUUGGAGGUGGGAAAACUCCAACGUAAACAAGGAAGAUCCACAUCCUUCUGGAAAUUAAACCCAGCACCUCAGAUGCAGACCCAGCUGAGCUCACCUUCCAUCCAGCAGGAACUGAGGAUGGAGAAUUUGGAGUCCUGGGUGGCAGUGAGCAAUGUGCCUACCAGGAGCUAGGGAAAGCAAAGCCAGAAACCUAAUGGCGUUGUGGAAUAUUUGGAUGUAUCAGACCUCUCCUCUGACCUCCUCCCUUCUGCAGCUUGCUAAAUGUGACCAUUUUUUUUCCACUUCUCCUUUCAGUAUCCACUGAAAAGCUUUUACUUUCACCCUUCAGUACCAAAACCAUCACAGUCUGCUUUCAUCUCAUCCUCUCCUGACAAUUACAUCCACUUGCUUCCCUAUUUUCUUUUCCUUCAAGGCUUCCAUCCACGCUGCUUUUUUAUCUCACUCACCUGCCUGUACCAUCGUUAUUUUCCACAUUGUCCCACACGCUAUUAUGCAUCUAAAACCUGCUUUCAGCAUGGUUAUUUAAGCCCAUUCUCCUGCACUCGGGUAGAUGAAUAUUCCUGUUGAACCUACAGCAAAUCCUCCAGCUUCUGCUGUACUAAAUGCUUUUAAGGGGAUGCUGAAGUCCAGUGGAAGUUUGGACAAUGCAAAACAUUAAAUAGAGCCCUUUGAUAUUUAAAAGCUGAAACUUUUCCAGGCUAAUGCAGGCAACGUCACAUAAAGCUGGCAACACAACCACCUGGGUCCAUUAACUACACUUGCUCUAUAGCAUUUGCUGUCUGAAUUGUUUAUGCCUCGUUUGAGCACGCAGACUACUCGGCAUAUUAAUACUCUGGAAAAGAAUGUGUAGGAUAGAGCUAGAAAUGAGGGACCAUUGGGGGUGCCUGUUGUUAUGCCAGAAUGACGAUGAGGCACAGAGACAACUCUUGAUCAUGUGCCUUUAGAUGACCAAGUGACAGUAAUGACCACUGAAAUCCCACACUGACAAAGACCUCCUCUAAAGAAUCCCUGAAGUCCUUCCACGUGCUCAAGUCAGCCAAUUGAGCUGCCAGGAUGAGAGCUUUGCAUAGAGUGGGGCUUGGUACAAGAAAAGGACACGUGCACAAGGAUGCUCAAUGCAGCAAUAAGGUGGAUAAGGAGCAAAACACUGUCAGGAUUUCCUUUUGCAGAAGAAAAACAUAGCCAAGGACAAAAUCUUUUGUAACACAGGAGAAAAGAACCUUCAGAUAGAAGCCAUUUUGCACGUACUGCUUAUGCUCAAGAAGACAUUUGGGGAUAAAUAUUGGACCUUCUAAUGAAGGUCCUCUGUGGUUGGCUUGUUGCUACUUUACCCAAAGUCAUCUAACCCCCUGUUGGAGAUAUUACACAUCGUUUUCACAUUAGAGCAGUUGGGUGGCAUGAAGAAUUAGCAUGCAAGCAGAGGGAUGCUCAGCAGGGGUAAAUUAGCUGCUUCAAAGAAAAGCAAGAGGCACAUUAGAGCCUGUUCCAGCACAGAAGUCCUUCCCUGCGCUGCAGACAGAUAAUGCAGCAAAGCACAUGGAAGGAGCAGCACUUCCCUUUGAGAACAUUUCCUAAGCUUCCCAUCAGCUGUGGAAAUUUAUUCAAAAGGAAGCAGUCCAAGCAAGAACUUCCAGCAUUCUCCUGCUCAAAACCACUCUCACUACGGCGUUUUGCUUUCACAGCAGAAACGCUGCUAAGGGAUUUUGCCCCCAGGAAAGGGGAACAGAAACUGCCUUUGCAGUGUCUCUGUGCAGAACUGUACUGGCACAAGCUGUUCAGAAGCCACUGCCUGACAUGGCCUGUGUUGUGACACCGGACUGACACAUCCCAUGCCUUCCUUUGUGACCAUGCCACGGGCUUUCUGCAUGAGCAGAACAGACUCAGCAUCUCUGCAUCCACACAGAUAAAGCGUGCGGCUGCGCAUCUCCCAGUGAACCCAAAUACCUCCUUUUAGUCACAGGACCUCCAAAGAUGCACUGAGGCUUGGUCCAGAGAGACAGAAUCCAUCCCCUCCUGGUCACUUCCUCCAAUGAUCCAUCACAGCAGUGCCUAUCUCCUGACCUCCCACUCUGAACCACUCAAACUUCUCACCACCUCCAGCAGACCUGGCAGUACCCAGUACUCUCUCCCCAAGCAAAGAAGUUUGGUUUAGUUUGCUCUUGACACAGUGGGAGAUUUAAGAAGUUCAAGUCCAGACAUUUAUCCCCCUCCUCCGCUGCCCUGCUGCUCUUUGCACAUGUUCUUUAGUUUUUCCCACGUCUAUUUUAAAAGUACGGAUAUCACAGCUAUAUAAACUACUUCACCAGUAUCCCUGUGGAAGCAGCUUCAGGAAGUAAAAACAUCCUUUUUUUCCUAUCCCCUAGCUGCACACCCAUAGAUGGCAUUACUCAUUACUGCACCGUCACUCUGGGAACUCGAGCAGGCUGGUGGGCUGGGAAAAGCCCCAAACCUCUUCCCAGUGCUGACAUCUCUCCAGGCAAAGCCUCCGUGCUGGAGUGCUUCACACCCGACUUGUGGGAAGGUGGUUCAUAAAGUCAUCUGGAUUACUCCAAGCCGUUUAUCACAUUCUGAUAAUGAUUUAUGACUCCAUCGGUUUUCUGAAGCCCACAGAUUUUCUCAGCACCAAUUCCGCGCUUGAUGAAAAUCAUCAGAAUAGGCAGGAUGAAAUUAUUACUACGAAUUACUACGUUCAAACUUAGUAUGGACUACUGCGAUCACAUUUGCAGUGCUGCAGCUUCAUCGCAGCCUUUAUCUGACUUUUAUUUCUCAUACUGGUGAAGAAAUGAGCAGAGAUGAGGGCUUCCACUGCCUUCAACAGCUCUAACACAGCCCAGCCACCCAACGCUGAACUUGUUCACAGCUGUGAUAUGCCACAGGUUCACAGAAAGCACAACGUAUUACAGCCCAUUUCUCUUCACCAAGAAAAAAGGAAUUAAGUGGGAAAAGUCAUCCUUAAAAAUAAAUCUGAUUGUCUACUGACCAUCAGUCAGAAUGAACUUAGAAAACUGGCCAAUCUAAGCAUUAGAUUUUGAGAAGAGGGUUCUCUCAGCCUUAUACGUGAGGCUCAGAGGUAGGGAGGGACUGGGAACGGCAGCUUCUGCUAACCUAGAGAUGCUUCAGACCUCAAUAUACCCACAUACAGAUAUCCAUUUUACUGCUAACACACAACUAUAUGUACAUACGUAUUGUCACAUACACACAUGCACACAGAGCACAAGCCCCACUAACCUUGCACAACAAGAUACAGGGUCUCCAAGAAGCACACAGUGCUCUGAGAACGAUACCCCCGCAGUGCGCUUCCAGCAGCUUCCCAAAAUCACAUGCACUGUAACAGCAGCAAGGAGAGGAUCCAGCUCGAGGGAGGCAUUCAGCGAUGCUUAAGCAACACAGCUUUUCUCUCUCCCGCUCCAACUCCCUGCCCCUGUUCCCCAGCACAUUUCCAAAUUGGCUCAACUUUGGUGGAUUUGCAUGGGAACUGCAAAAGAGACAUCUGCCAAACAUCAAGUCAUUGCUCCCAAGAGCGGGGGCAAGGCAGCCUAGAAGGGAAAAAAUGGUCAGUGUGCUUUCAGUUUUAUUUUUUUCAGUGUAAGAACUGUGUAUUUUCUCAGCCUCGUUCUCCACAACAGCUGAGUUGUUUUCACUGGAGCACUCCCAAGUAGCACAUCCCUUUGCAGACAACUCUCCGAAGCGAAGUUUGACAAAAUAGAAGCGACUGCAAAUAAGGUUUUCAAACACAGAGCACCUGGCAGGCUUUUAAUAAUGACUAUUUCCAUCAGCCCCCACUGCUGGCCAGACAGCAGAGAGGUUUUACACCAACAGCCAUCUAUUCCCACAGGGAAAUAGUGGCUGGAAGAUGCUUAGGAACGCCACCGUUUACCUUUCCCAGAUGAAAUCUGCAUUGAUCUCCUUUCUCUCAUUACCUACCGUAAUCUGCAGUGUUGUUUUGUUGCACUGUCUAAUUAAGGACACAUGUUCCUUUGGAUAAAGAUCUCAACAUCUUGCUCAUCCACAAAAGCUACUCAGCACACAGAUGCUGCUUUGCAAGCAAAACCAUUGAUUUUAGCCACGAAGGUACCGGUUUCACAUGAGCAUUCUAACAAGUGCAUUUAAGCAAAAUUCUCUUUAACCAUCCUUGUGUUCAUGCAUGGAUCCCUCACAGCAGGGUUUCCGAGCGAGCAGAAGAUGAAUGCUUGCUGUGAUACACAGUAUUUCCAUAAUCAGGAUUUCAUGUUACCCAAAAGCAGUUAUUUUGUUUUCUUCGAGUCUCCAGCAAUCCCUGAAACACGUACAGCUUGGGACAACGGAGAUGGGGAGCAGUUGCACACCCUGUGGUAUUUCAGGGGCUGAUGAAAAACAGCAGGGAGACACUCCCAGACACCCUGCUGUCUACAUGUGCCUCUCCAUAUCCACAGCCCGUGAAAUCCCACAUUGCACAAACCCAGGGGCAGCUGAACUGAACGCACUGAGAGCAGCAUGUAACGAGGAGACAGAGAGCUCUGUGAAGGAUGCAGAUACAGCCUGACACUGCUGGUCCUUUGGGCUCCUUCAUUUUGGCAGCAGGGGUCUCCAUGAGGUCCCAUCAAACAGAAAUGACUCAAGCAAGUGAUCUUCCUGAGGGCGAUGGAGAAGCAUGGGUUCUGUGAGGCUCGGGAAUAAGAACAUCAAAUCAAAGCCUGGGAAGCCCGCGCUGCCCUUCGGAAAAUGGCCUGGUAAAUUCUUAUACUGUUAAGUCCUGCCUCUCUACCACAAACUCAGUUGUGCUGAGAGGAGCUGAAGUUGCAAUGAAUACCAGCAAAACAAAAUCGGGGAACAAAAGCUGGCAUCCAGUAAACUGACCAAUGCAUUUGGACAGCAGCAAGCUACUGGCGAGCUGGUGAGCUCCUGGCACCCAGCCCUGUAGCUCCCACAGCAAGGCAACAGCAAGAGAGGAUGGAGGGUGAGUCUGCAGCCCUGUUAGCCCAGGGCUAAUACCUGUGUGCCAACUGCCCUUCCACAGGAAGGUGGGAGCAUCUGUGCUCGUCUACAGCUUCCCAAGCUAUAAGGAAGUCCUCUGAGUACAUCCCAUUUACAAGCAAAACCAGACAGCAACUUUAUGGUCACUAAGCUACCUGUGCAUAGCAAGCCUGCAAAAUCUGCAAGGACUUCCAAUUCGUUGUUAUUAACACAUUCUUUGUAUUAAUCUUCCCCAAGUGAUCCAUUGUGGGAAUUUAUGUAUGACCCUCUAUUGAAAACCACAGUAACUCUCUCCCUGAACAUACCACGGAGCUUGAACACAUGAAAGCAGAGAGCCUGAAGAGGCUGAUGAGAAUCAUUUGCCAGUAACACUGGGAAGGACAAUCUGGUUUUAUGGGACAUUUUAUAGUAUGUUUUUCCAAAUUAAAACUAAAACAGUUCCCAGAUGGAAGCUGUACCAUUUCAACUUCAACCUUAGAAAUACUUUGUUGUUGUUGUUGCUUUUAAAAACAUGCAAAGCUUCAGGAAAUCUGAGCUCACAGAAGGGCUGGCAGCUCUUUGCAUCGCUCAGAGAAGACUCAGGCAUGAUGGCACAAACCUUGACAUAUUUUUUUGGUCAGAGAUUCAAAUAAUAAGGAAAAGUUCGUUUCAGAGCAGCAGCAAAGUUUGCCCUUAUUUCUACAAUGCGUGCAUCAGACUGUGGAAAAUUUCCUUACAAAGCUCCAGGCAUCUACACAGGCAGCUGGAGUGGGAAACGUAUUUCCUUGCUCACAGUGUGCUAAUCCAGUGACUCUGAACUAAAUAGCUUGCUUCUGCAAAUUGAUUAUUUUAUUUUUCGAAGUGUCCCAUAUAGAUGAAACGUGGCCCUAAUACACUUUCCAAGUCACAGCUUUUUCCCAGGAAGCAACGUCUAAAGCUUGAAUGUAGCUUUUAAUUUGCAUCAUCAAUGCUUAACGCAGACAAUAGUCUGGCUCAUCCCUUCAUGCUUAUUUUGGUGCUGGAAAGGCAACAAAGAACAGAGUAUUUUUGUCAAGCAAUUGCAAAUGCACAGAAUUAGAGAAGAUAUGGGAGAUGAAAGCAGGGUCUUUGCUUACUUCUGAGAGCAUGCAAAGGUGCAGCUAGCACCUGGCUCCAUCUGCAUAUCACAGAACCAGAGAACAGCCUGGGUUGAAAAGGACCACAAUGAUCACCUGGUUUCAACCCCCUGCUAUGUGCAGGGUUGCCAACCACCAGACCAGGCUGCCCAUGACACAUAUUCCUAAUUUGUUAAGGACAAAUGUGGAAAUAGUUUCAUCUACAGGACCACAGGGAUGGAAAGCACAGGUCACCGUCCCUUGACCAGGCACCUCCAGCCACCUGUCCUCAUUCCUUCUGCAGGCACUUCUCAUCCCAUACCUAACGCUGCCCUUAUUCUGAUUUCUGGCUCCUUCCCAAACCCUCUCUCUCCCCUCCCCCCUUCUCUUUGGUGUCAUCGCCAACACCCACUUUCAAUCUCCAUUACAGUUUCUGCUGGGUGCAGAGAUCCUGUUUCAGCUGAUCACUACAACACUGCCUGUGCUUUGCAUUAAGGGAGGAUCGAGUUAUGCCACAGCUCAUCAAAGCCCACGACACUGUCAGUAACCACUACAUCAGCUUUCACCCUGCCUGAUGGAAGAGAAAACUGCCUUGGCCAUACUAGAGAGGCCAGAAGGGAAAAGUAUAGUUAUCGUUGUAACAGGAUCUCGUAAUGGAGUGAAAAUUGUGCUGUCAACACAAGCAGGACACACCAUGCUGGAGAAGUUUUCCUUUUUCCAAAGGACUUCAGGCAGCACAGACAGAAGCAGAAACACCACCUGAUCCCACAUGCAUUUGUUCCUCAAAUUAUUCUCCAAACCUGUUCCUGGUCCAUCUUCCUGGUAGGUCUAUCUUAGCUGUACUCACAGAUCUCUUUAUGAAGUAAUUACAAAUGCUUAUUUCAAACAGUAUGAUAUUAAUCUCAGGGACAGAAAACUCUCAGUGGUUGCUAUCACCCUGCCACAAGGUUCCAUGGGAUCCACGCCACGGAUUGCCCUGAACCCAUUCUUUGCUAGAGGGGGCAUUGAAGGAGGUUGGUAAGCACCACACUCCCAAUAACAGAAAGUGCAGGUGUCCAGAUUCACUUCUGCUUGCUGAAAACCCCAGGACACUGCAAGAUCAGAAUAAGAAUACCAAUCAUAGAUAUUUAAUGCGAUAAUUUGACAGGCUGAGGGAGCUGGGCUUGUUCAACCUGGAGAAAAGAAGGCUGCAGAGUGACCUCAAUGCAGCCUUUCAGUACCUAAAGGGAGCCUACAAACAGGAGGGCAGUCAACUCUUUGAAAGGGUAGAUAAUGGCAGGACAAGGGGAAAUGGUUUUAAGUUGAAGAAGGGAGGAUUUAGGUUGGAUAUCAGGGAGAAGUUCUUUACCAAGAGAGUGGUGAGGUGCUGGAACAGCUGCCCAGAGAGGCUGUGUAUGCCUCAUCCCUGGAGGUGCUCAAGGCCAGGUUGGAUGGGGCCAUGGGCAGCCUGGUCUGGUAUUAAAUGGGGAGGUUGGUGGCCCUGCAUGCAGCAGGGGGUUGGAGCUUCGUGAUCCUUGAGGUCCCUUCCAACCUGGGCCGUUCUGUGAUUCUGUGAUUUCAGAGCCAAUAAUCAUAAUGAACCUCUCCCUCUUUCAGAUAAGUAAUUUCAGAACAAUCAAGGCAACAGUGUAGGGCUGAAAUACAGAAGAAUGCUGAACACUGAUCCCAUGAACAGAGCUGGGGAAUACCUCCUCAUGAUCCUUGCCCAGAAAAAACAUCCCCAUUCCUCCUCCAUGCACACAAAAGGAGGAUCUGCAGUAUUCAUUAUCCACAUUUGAUGGCAUACAGAGGGAGCAGUACAGGAAAUUUUUACAAAAGAUACAGAGCAAAACCAAGUCCUGCAGCCCCGAAGAUGAUUUAGUGUUAGAAGGGUGGUGAGGUGGUCUUUCUCAUCACGCAUUUGUGACACUUCAUAUAAAUAGUUCUGUAUAAUGGCAAAAAAAUGUCACGCAGGGGAAAAGAGAAGUCAUUUAGGAAGUCAGCUGUGGGGAAAGGGGUUCUUUAUGACUUCUUCCAGACAUAAAUUUCCUCUGUCAAAUCCAGUAGGAGAACACUAACACUUUGUUGGGUGACGUAAGAACUCGCCACGGACAUGGGACAAAAGACCUCCACGCUGCUGAGCCCAGAGGCUGCUGGAGUGCUCCAACUCUGUCCAGCAUAGCCUUGACUUUUCCAGCCACUCCUGCAGCUCCCAGAGGUUACCAAAAGGCUGACCAACCUGCUGGGACAUGGCAAGGGGAAUUCAAUCACAGAAUCAGUAAGGUUGGAAAAGACCCCUAAGAUCCUCUAGUCCAACUGUCCACCUACCACUGGUAUUACCCACUAAAACACAUCCCUAAGUACCACAUUUGACCUUUCUUAAACACCUCCAAGGAUGGUGACUCCACCACUUCCCUGGGCAGCCUGUUCCAAUGCAUCAGCUCUCUUUCUGAGAAGAAAAAAGGAGGUAAAGCUCAGACUGCCAGCGUGAGAAUGGGCUGAUAAAGCUGCACUGCAGUUAAUGAGGAUUUCCUGCUUUUGAAGCAGCAAAAGCAGUUUGUGGGUUUUUUUUUUUUCUUUUCUUAGAAAUUAACUCAAAAUGUCAGCACAAGUAGCAGGAGAAGGAAGUAAAAACAAAGAAGAAAGUGCAAUGGAUUAUGGCACACAACCUCCACCUACAAUCUGAGCCUAUCUCCUCAUCUGUCAUUCCUUAUUUGGUCUUCUCUUCCUCUGCUUCCAUCUCCAUUCCUCAUGCCUUCGUCCUCUCCCUCCCAUCAAUAAAGCCUAAUCCAUGAUUCAGAAGACAGUAUGCACCAAGGAUAUGCUUCAACGGGCACCAAACUGAUAAACUUGCCUAAAUGACAUAGUUUAACUUCAAGACAAGAUGGUUAUACCAAUAUCACCUGCUAGCAACCGUGCUGAAACGGGUGAGUCCUCACCUGUGAGCUGCCACACUAAACAUGGCAGACAGGGGUGUUGCUGUUUACUUUGCUGUAAGAAAAGAGAGCUUCACCACCGCUACCUUAAUGUACAACACAGAUUACCUGAACCUCUAGAUAUCAAGAAGCAGGAAUUAGGUAAAUUAAGGCAAGAAAGAGCUAAAUAAUUUGCCCGGGGCCACUGGAAGCAGUCAGUGACAGCAGAAUGGGUGGCAUUUAGCAGCCUCUUCUUUACAGCUCGGUCCCAGAGUCCUAAUGCAACCCCAGAGAUCAGUUCAGGAGCUGUCAGACAAAGCAUUAGCACCCCAAAACAUGAGCAUCUCCAAACCACCAGUGGGGAAAGCUGUGGAGCAGCCAAAGCCAACUUUCUCCCCGCUCCUUUCCUCCCCACCCACAAAGCCAGGAGGAGUUCUGCUGGCUGAGUGAUUUCAGGAGAGAUGGAAUGAAUGGUUGACUGAGAACAGGCAGAAAAGCAAACAGAAGUCUCUCACCCCCCGGUGUUCAGGUCUCAAAGAACUGAAGGCUGCUGAAGGGUCACUUGUUUGGCUGGGCUGCCUGAGACACGCUGUACAGUACAAGCUCCUUUGUGAGCGAGCAAAGCUGCAGACAGAAGGAUAAAAUAGAGCCUUGCAGGCACUGCAGCAGCAGGAGGCAUUGCCAGAGAUGUCACAGCCCAGCUCUGGAAACCCUGCUGCUGUGCAUGGGAUGAGGAAGCUGCCUGGCCCCAAGGCUUCCGGAGAAAGCACCGCAGGGAGCAGAGCAGAGCAGGAUACACUUACAGGAUCAGAGUGCCUACGGCUCAGGUAUCCUGGUACUCCAAAUACCCCGGAGACAAGAGUAACUAAUUAAUAGGCAGUCAUGGGAUGUAAGUGAGCAGUUAGAUAUUUAGGAUUAAUUUAAUUACUUCAGCCUCAAACACAUCCCAAAAUUAUACCAGCAAGAGAUUCUCUUCCCAGCAUCCCCCUCAUACAGCAAUACUCAUUACCUGCCCUCAGCUCGGGUGCAGCUCUCGACAUCGUCAACAGUAGAGCUUUCCUUGGGAGAGGUUUCUGGCAGCCUAGCUGAUUUUCAACAUUAGAAUGUAAUAAAAAAGGAAAUUCAUGAAUUGGCUGCAGCAAUUUAAGGAAGAUUUGUGGCCAUAGCAACAUUACUAUAAUCUAUGCUGCAGGGAACAAAAGGUACUUUGAUCAUGUUGUUCCGUACCCUCUCCAACCCUUCCAUAAUGAGAGACAUCGGCAUCCAGACACUCUCCAGUCCCCCAAAAGCCCACGUGUGCUCUCCCACUCACUACUGCUGACUUGAAAUCACUGUGCCAGGAGUAGAUAACAACAUAACUCUUGGCACAAUCUCAACCUUAUAAAACUAUGUUUAUUGCUGGCCUGUGUCACACAGCUGCUGCCUUCCUUCCUAGAGCUCACCAUACUAGCUUGAUCUCAGAUUCACCUAAAGCACGUGGAAUCUCAUAUUCACUUCAUGCUCAGCCUAUGUCCUAACAGGGGCCUGAACUCCCGUCAGGCCUGCAGGCUCUCCUGUAAGGCAAAUAAUAAAAGGAAAUGCUGAGAAAUAAACCCAGCGAGCUGCCUGCCUGCCCUCUGCUCUGUGUGCCUCCUUCAUCUGCCCACCAAGCCAAACGUAGGUGGACAUUAAUGCUCUCCUUGUUCUUAGCUCUACGAAUCAGGGGUAGCUCCUUUGUGCUUCCUACCCCCCAGAUACAACAUCUGGGCUCUUCACGGUCAUUUGAGCUCUUUUCCCACAACGAGGAGCCUGGAAUGCAGCAAGGUGGAGCACUGGAGGGGAAAGGACAGCAAACUUCCCAAAUUAGUAGCAAAGAGCACAGGGCUGCAGUAAUUCUACAGCUGGGAUAGCUCAGCAGCAGUGACUGCAAUCUGCCCACUUAAUUUGGCCCUGCAGUUUCUAUUAGAAGCACGUUAGGAGGAAAUUCCUGUGCAGCAGUUAAAGUGAGGGGUGUCGGGUGACUGGGGCUGUAUUCCCAGCUGUGUCUCAGACCUUCUGUGCAACCUCAGGGAAUUUGCUUCAUCUGCUCCGGUUUGCAGCAUUCCUCAGGAACUCACAGGGGAUCUCACGGGCUACAAAUAGCAACUGAGGCUAGGAAUGUAAUCAAGAGCAACUUCCUGUUCAGCAGGACAUAAAGCAUCUUACAAAUUUGCCUGUAACAAGACCAAAGGACUUAAUUACACAGCAUUGAUCCAUCUGGUCCCUUCAACCAUCCCACUUGGAUAGGAAUUCAAGGAGACACUCGUGCCAAGCCAUGCCCACAGCCCCACACUACCAUGGAAUUUAUUUGGGAACUUAUUUCUCUUGAUGGUCUCAAAUGAUGACUUCGGAGGCACGAAAAAGUAACAAUAAUAAUCCAGUAUUCCUUGCUGGUCCAGCUUAAAUUAUUUCAUAGCUUUCAAACUCCAAAAUAAAACCUGAGCGUAGGAGUGGGACAUGCCAGGAGCAAGCAAGAACUCUCUGUAGAACCCUCCUGGCCUCUCUUCUUCCAUCAGACCCAAACUGCACAGUUCAAGAAGAAGAAAAGAAUCAAAGGAAGGAGGAGAGGGGGUGCUUAUUGCUUGUACUUUGGUAACGCAGCUCUGGCAUUUGAAAUUCUGUUAGAAUUGAAUGUAUCCUAGCAUUGGGCACCUUUUCCUAGUUCAUCUUGGAGGUAAUCUAGAAAGAAGAGAUGCAGCAGAAGUGAAAAAAUAUUGUCAGUAUAUACACUCCCAUCUCACUUUGUGUAUCCAAACCCACCUGCAGCACAGCAAUCCAACGGGUUACUCAGCAUCUUUGUAUUACAGGAUUCACAGCUUGGAGCUUUGCCAGAUCCCUGGAAGAAAGGCAGCAGAGCAAUGCUUCGUGCUCACUUCAACCAUCACACGCCAGUCUGAAGGCAGAGCACAACACUGCAGUGGUCAGAGAACAGACAAAGCUGUGCUUUGCUUCUAGGGUGUCACGAGUACCACUUGGCAACACUGACCUACUGUGCUGUACAGCAUCAGACACCAUCUCCUCCCAGGUACCUGCUGUGCACAACUCCCACAGCUCUGAAACGUCUCUGAGAAAUUCACUGUUAAGAAUACAGCAUCGCUGGGGCUUUCCAAGACCACCCCAGCUCCUGCUGAAAUAAUUGGUAUUGUUGCCUCUGGAUUUGGUGAGGGCAGAGCUGGAGCGAGGUGGAGCUUAGGAAAUCCCCACAGUCACCCCAACGCCUGGCUCCCUAUCUAUGGGAGGUCUGAAGUUAAGAGUUGCCCCUCAUCAGUUGUUUGGUUUUUUUCCCACACUUCUGGCUUUGAAUCAAAUUCAGAAGUUCAGUACGAAGUUAGAUUUUGCAAAAGUCUAGGUGAUACCUCCUUAAUAACAGAAAGCUAAGGAGAUGCUGAUUAAUUUACAGAGCAGCCCAGGAUGCCCACCAUUCCUCUUCCACAAUUUGCAACAUCACCAAACUCUCUCUAGGAACAGAUCCUGCACAGCACCACUUCUAAGCCCAGGAAGCCCAGCAGGGUUAUCUUUUCCCAUCUGCAAGCCAAGAACCUCUGCCAACUUUUCAAAGCAAAGUUUCCCAAACACCAGCUAUGAGUCCUGACUCAACACUCCAGUAGCAGAUUCCUCCUCUACCCCAGCUGGUGGUGUGAUGUCUCCUCACAUGCACAGCACCUGCUCAUCAGAAAUGAAGCCCAGUGCUUUAUAGCAUGAAACAGACUUUGCAAACACGUGAACUAACCAUGCAAAUGAACCAUUUGUUCAGGCUCAAUGCACACUGGCCCACUCCUUGGCAGAACAGUGGUAAAAGGCAGUGCAGGAGGUUCAUGGGGAUUGCUGCAGGGUGGAGAGGUACAACUGCAGCCUCUUCCAUCAGAAGAGGGGUGGCCAGCAGGGACAGGGAGGUGAUUGUCUCUCUCUACUCUGCCCUUGGGAGGCCCCAUCUGCAGUACUGCGUCCAGGUCUGGGGACCUCAAUACAAGAAAGACAGGGAGCUGUUGGAGAGGGUCCAGAGGAGGGCCACAAAGAUGACCAGAGGGCUGCAACACCACCCCUAUACAAAGACAUACUGAGGGAGCUGGGCUUGUUCAGCCUGGAGAACAGAAACUCCAGUACCUAAAGGGAGCCUACAAACAGGAGGAGAGUCAAUUCUUUGAAAGGGUAGGUAAUAACAGGACAAGGGGAAAUAGUUUUAAGCUGAAGAAGGGAAGAUUUAGGUUGGAUGUCACGGGGAAGUAUAAGAGUGGUGAGGUGCUGGAACAGCUGCCCAGAGAGGCUGUGGAUGCCCCGUCCAUCCCUGGAGGUGUUCAAGGCCAGGUUGGAUGGGGUCCUGGGCAGCCUGGGCUGGUAUUAGAGGUGGAGGUUGGUGGCCCUGCCUGUGUGGGGGGGUUGGAGCUUCAUGAUCCUUGGGGUCCCUUCCAACCCAAGCCAUUCUGUGAUUCUGUGAUUCUAUCUUAAAGCCAUUUACCCCUUGUUCUAUAGAUAAAUACUCCCAAGGUGUCUCAGCCCUUCUCCCUGGGAGAGGUGUUCUGGUCUUCUAACCAUUUCUGUGACCGUCCUCUGGAAGGCCUUCUUCCUGACUACUUCUAGCUGAUAAUAAUCUUUCCAUCUCCCAGACAGCUGUAUUUCCAUAGAGAUAUGAACAUACAGUGGUCUAAGGCUUAGAGAGCCUGCAAAUGAAAAGCAUUAUAGGACACUUAAGGCUAUUAUCCUUGUGCUGUAGCCCAGAAGCCAGCCUUUAAGAGAAAAGCUGAGAAACAAAGCUCUUCCAAAAGAGCUCAGUGGGAGGUUUCUGUGCAAAAAAAUGGGAGGUUGGGGAAUUGGGAAAUAUCAGAGAAUAACAAAUUAAUCUUCCAAGUUCAUUUCAUUGCAUCAACUCUAUUGAGCGAAAAAGGCUGCUCAGAGGGUACGAAUGGAAUUAAGCACACCAUUUUAGGGAAAACAGCUUCAGAAAAGCAGAUCUGCUAGGGAAAUCAAAAAGGCAACAGAGGUCAAGCAGAAGGAAUGGACUUCCACUCAGCUUUUAAAGCGAGGGGUGGCUGAAUACCAGCUGAAGUUCCUGAGAUACAAUUCAGCAAUUAAAUUCAAGCCAAAAGGGAGGACCUCCAACAAGAUCUAGUAAACAAGAUAGAGAUGGGAAAAGUCCCCCUCUAAAUGCCAUAAUUAAGACAUGCAGAAGAAAACAAAUAAUGACAAACUCAUUUGGUGAUCUCUGCUGAUCCAGGAACAGAAGAGCCCCAGAGCUAGAAGUAGCUAAUAGGCAGCUGAGAGAGAGAAACACGUCGCAAUGGCUCCCUGUAUCUGAAAGGAAUUAUCCAGCAAUGACACACAAGGCUGUGCUUGAAACAACAGAAAUGCAAAUUCAGAGAUGCAAUUUUGAGCCAUCUUCAGGUAAUGAAGCUCUACUGGAACAUGAAAAAGUCCCAUGAGAUCAGGACGACUCCCAUUUUUCAGCGUUAAAGCCACAGGAUGAUGCCCAAUGGAGAAGAGUUUAGCUCCUAAUCCAAGGAUGCAGCCUGACAGCCUCCCACUUACUCAUUUCACUCAACACGAACCAAAUUUUGCACAUGAAAUCCCCGAAGCUUGCUUCAUUUCCUCUCCCAAGCUUGUGCUUGAAGCCUACCACCCUUCAUUCCCCCACCCAAGGUGGCUGGUACCAGCUGCCCCAAGAGCUGCAUGCCUUGCCCGAAACGGGGCAUGCGGUCAAUAGGAAAAAAAGGGAUAGAAGGAAAGAAUCAACCUUUCAGAAACAGACACUGAAGCACAACUGUUUCCAUAUAGCAAGCAAUAUUUUCCUGACAUUUCCCAAACAAACAUAGCGAACACUUUACCAGCACCAUGACCAUCGCUCUCAGCACACCACUUCCAUGACAGAGAAUAGGCAGGCCAAGCAAAGCUGGAAACGUGGUGACAAGCUCAAGCCUUAACAGUUGCAUGGAGGAGCAAGUAAUUAUUAUGAUGCUCAGAUGAGCUCAUCUCUUGUUCUCAUCAAACUUGUUUGUUAAGUUAUCGUUCACUCAAUAAUCUUCCAUUCCCUCUUAAGGCAUCAAAGCACAGGGAGGCAGUGCUGGGUUGUGCCUCUGCUACUGCUGUCCUCACCCAACAAAUAUCACAGAUUCCAGCAAGGAUUGAAGCACUUGCACCAUGCUGAGAUUUAUUGUUAUAAAAACAAUUACCGACACACUUGGCAGAAUUCAGCAUUCUCUUCCAGGGAGAAGAAAGAUUGCUACAUUUCAUGUGGGAGUCAGACAACUCUCAGAAUGAAGUUCACACAGACAAACAUGGACACAAAUCUUCAUGAAGUCACACAACUCCCACACCCCUUAGUGGGAGCCAGAGAUACUCAAUUCAAUUUGGAGCAUCAAAUCCCUCAAGCCAGAAGCAUCAGCGAACAACUGCAUCCUGCCAUGUACUCUGCGAUGUAUGACUCGGGAUCUGAUCAGGGAAAAAGAAGUUAUCAUGUUGUAUUUCAAUCUUCUGUUUCUUAAGCCUCUGCCAAUAAGAAAAGAGUUUGUCACAAAGAGCUAGCUCACUGUCCAACAGAUGUGUGCGGUGGGACAAGCUCCUGCCUGCUCUCCCAGAACAUUACUCUGAACUGCAAACAGGAGCAAGGCUUUAAGUGCUGAAGCAACACGAUCCAGCAUGAACACACGCUUCCCUGGGAGGCAGCCUGUGCUCAAGUCCACUUGAAAACUCACCCAACCUUUGCAGUGUGCAUCCACUUCUGUGGCGAGGACAUGUCAGGAUGGAUGUGGAAGCUGUGCAAGGAUCCAGUCCCAAAGGAAGUACCAACAGCAGUGAACCUAUUGGGGAAUGGAGGUACUCCAUUGGAGGAACAUGGUUUAGUGAGCAUAGUGGUGAUGGGUUGAGAACUGAACUUGAUCUUAGUGGUGUUUCCCAACGUUGAUGGUUCUAUGAUUCUACUCUUCCCAUUUUACAUCUGCUUAGGGUCCUGUAGGGAAGCUGUGGCGAAACCUGAGUUGAACUUCUAACUUCUUAAUCUAAAAGCAGGUAGGCUUAACUUAAUUCUCUUGGAAACUGUAAAUAAACUAAAUUUGAGUAGUAUUGACUUUUACAGGGAGACCUUCAAAAAGUAUUGUUAGCAACAAGCUUAGCAUUUGGAAGAGCAAAGCUAUAGGUCUUAACUAUCCAGGCUCAUAGUAACUUGAUAAUACAAAAAAUAAUAAUAAAAAAAAGACCCCCUCUCUCCUCCUCUCCAAGGGCAGAGACCAAAAGAGGAGGGCAAGGCAGACAUGAGACACAGUUUGUGGCAGAAAAGGUUUUAUUCUACCCCCCAGAUUUGGAGAACAUGCUAUAUUUCGCAUAGAGAUCGUGGAGAAUGAGUUGGGGGAAAGAGAAUAUCAAAACCAAAACAAGUCACGAGGCACCAACAAUCCCUUGAUGACAGGAGAGUAGUUUUUGUUGGCACAGCUCACGACAGCUGGAGGAAUAAUUGCAAAGCUGAGUGAGAAUGCCUAGAAUAUAUGUUGCCUUUACCUUCUCAAAUGAAAGCUGCUAUCCACAAGCAUUUUGCUAAAGUUAAUUAAAUCCACACAGCCCGCUUUGGCAGAUCAAGAAGUAUUUAUCCUUAUUUUGUAAAGAAGGGGAUGAAUAUCUCUGGUACUUUUCACAUCAGGUAUCUACUUAUGAAAUGCCCCAUAGAUACACUAAGCAUCAAAAGCACGCAUUACCCUGCCCAGUCCAGCGGCUGUCCCCAGCAUAUAGCCAGGGCAGAGAUGAUGAGGCUUCUGUUUUUCCCCUGCCUACUGCCCCAGCAGAAAUCUUGACUUCACAAGGAAGCCAGCCAGCUCUGGCUGUGCAGAUCAACAGCAGAGGUGAAUACAAAUGCUGCAGACGAGCUUUAAAGCAAUACUGCCCCUUUAUAAUUUGUUAAAAAAAAAAACGAAACAUGUCAACUGCUCUUCCUUCAAGUUUUCUUUAUCACAGUGAUUCAGCCUUACGAGACUGCAGGGCUUCACGCUCUGAAAUGUCUCCCUCACUUCUGCUCUACUCCUUGUGGGACUGCUGCUUCCCAACACUGCUUUACAGCCACCCACCGCUGUACAGUCACAGCCCAGGGACACGUCCUAUGCUCUCGGGCCACUUACCUACACUCAGAUCACGCGCUGCCAGUUCAAGAGCUCCACAGCAGGGAGGGAAAAGCAUGCCCUUGUCACCCCCAGCAACCUGCCUGCCGUCACACCAGCUCUGCUCUGCUGAAAGAGGAGGAAUGCUUCCCGCAUCUCCCCCACGCGAUGCUCCAAUUAGGGACUGGAGCCUCAGCUUUGGCUGAGUUCCUCCUCGCUGAGCCCCAGGCAAGCGCCUGUGAAUCCAGCAGCAAACAAGUUUCAUCCAUCCUCCCUUUAAUUACAUGUUGUAUCAGCACAAUAAGUAUUUGAAAGUAGCUUUAUGCCUAGCCGUCAACAGCAACUGCUACCAAUCCAAAGGAGCUGCCUAUUCUAUAUGGCAAUAUCUACAAUGCUCUUCAACAUGAUAAAAUAAAACACUGUUAGUGCAAAUGUCAUCCAGCGUCCUGAGUGCAAGCAGGGAGAAAGAAAGGCUGGUGAAAUAUUUAUCAGAAAGAGGCAUGAAGAAUUUGAGACACCUGCAUUCAUUCCCGUUGUCUGCAGAAUCGAGCUUAUAUCUAAAAAAAACCAAAACAGUCAUUAGCUAAACUGACAUGGAGAAUUUAGUAUUCGAGAGAAGGGUCAGUGUUUGGGAUCUAUAAAGAGAAGCUGGGAACAUCUGCAGGGACAGGAAGAAUAUGCAUAAACACACAGUGUGAACUAAAAUACACAGUGUGGCAAUGCUUGCAAUCUUACCAUGAGAAUAUGAAUAUUUGGAGUUCUUCCCCAUCUAAAAAUGCCCUUCAGACAGCUGAUUAUGUAUGUAUUUCAUAUGGAAAUGCAUCUAAUGAUGUAAAUGGAAAGGGAACCUAAGAAUAAGUGGAGCACAUCCAAAGACUUUAGAUAGCAAAAGGCAUAAAAUCGACUACUUUUAAAACAUUUCAACAUAUGCAUAGCCUAGGAGAAGAUUGGAAAUGAGCAGUGUAAAAUAUAUAGCUUAAAACCUUGUUUUCACUUUAAUUUCUUCUUUAACUCUUGACAAAGACCCCCUGUGCCUUACAGUGCUGCUCAUGCAGCAGCUGCUGAGUGAUGCCCAUUGCCCUCAGGCCAGACAAGCACAGGUCCUGCACUUGCUACAGAGACAACUGAUGCCUUAGUGAAGCCAAGUCCAUCUUAAAUCCCUUGGAUGUACCAGUUCAGCAGCAAUUACCAGCCCACCUAUGGGGCUUACUAUGUGGCGAGCACACCGACUUAAAGCAUUCUUCAAACUAAAAUACCUGUCAGGAAAUAGGAGCUUAGGGAUACAAGCUGCCAUUCAAACCAUCCAGUCUCACUGUCUAGAAUAUUUUACUCAGGUUCAGCAUCUUUCCAGACACGUUUCCCUGCAUGCAGCACAGUAGUGAGGACUUUUGCAAACUGUCCAUCACAACUCCACCUGCUCUCUAAGCCCACUUCUUCAGCCACAUGGGCCUGCCUGCCUAAAGACAUGGAGACCAAGCAGAGGAGACAAAAAGCUUCCCCUGGACUCAUUGGCAGCCUGAGCUGCUUCUUUUGGGAGCCUGCAACUUUCUGCUGCAAGGCACAGUUUGCAGAACCAGGCUAUGUACAGCAGCAUACACCCCCGAGAAGUCAGCUUAGUGGCUACUGUGUGGGACACUGACUACCUACUCUCUGCCAAUCCAAGGCCAAGGCAGUGCCUAACACCAAGCAAAUCUGAAACCUGGCCAAAGAAGCAAACAGCCAGUGGUGUAAUGCCGGCAUUACACGUGCUGUUACAAUCUGGCACUGUGAGGAGAAAAGUUCUGGGGUGGGACCAGCAGAUGUUUGCAGCUGCAAUUGGUUAGACCUGCUCUGACCCCCCGCCCCUGUGGGGACCCGGAUAUGGUCACUGCACCCAGACUCAGCCCUGGCUCUUCCCAUGCUGCAGGUUGUUUCCUUUGCCAUACAGCUCACUGCUGCUUCUCCAAUCUGCUCACUGAGGAUGGAGGUAACACAGGAGUUAAAAUAAUGCAUCUCAACCACAUUUUUAGUGAUAAGAGUCAAUUUUGGGGGGGGGCUCGAAAUUUCACCUAUGCCCUUGGCUUCUAGAUAAAUGAGUAAAUACUAUGACAUUAUUAAAUGCAUCCACUGCACACCAAACAAGUCCUGCAGAAAUCUAUUUAUUCGCAGUACACCUCAUCUUGAUGACACCUUCCAAUCAAGGCACCUCCAGGCAAGAACUGCUGCCCUGUUUUAACACAAUGCAAUGUGAUGCAGCUGGACUGACUGUACCUGGCUGCUGUUCUGGGGUCCUUCCAACGAAUGCUCGUGGCUUUGGAGCUCAUUUGGGACAUCCACCUCCCUGUGAGGACCCUGCAACACAACAUACAGCUGUGCUUGGGCUGACACUCGGGAGGACAGGAGCCGUCAGAGGGCAGCCUUCUACUUUCCUGAUACCAGAGUUGUUUCCUUCUUUAUGAUAAGAAACAGAGCACAUUUUUGGCCUUCCCACACAUAUCCAUAGUUGCGUGACUGCCAACUCUUUUAUCACUUCCUAUCACCCUUGAUUUUUUUUUAAAUCUUGCCCAAGGUUAUGUUCAGUAAAGGUUUCUCCCUCAAAAUGCUGCACUGAAAACAUUAUCACAGUCACACCUGGAAAUUGCAUCAAAAUCCUUCUUGAAAAUGCCUGUUUCCCAAAGGGCAGCCCAGCUGAGCAGAAAAGCAGCAAAUUCCUGCCCUCCUCUCUUUGCAGGUGUAGCACUAUCCUUGAAGUUGAAGGAUUUUUUGCCCCUAUGUGUUAUUAUUUAUUUACGGAUAGAGGUACUAACCUCUCAAUCUGCCCUUCCCAGCUCCUCUGUUAUCUCUUUGCAGCUGCUCAGGGGUGGCUGACAGCUCCUAUAGCCAGGAAACGUUUCACACUUCAGAGAAGCAGCAGUUUCUUACAAGCAGACUCUUCCAGAUCAUCCUUCACUGAGCCUAAUGACUCUAGAAAGAUCCCUGGGGAAGGAACACUGCUGCCAAUGAGCUCCAUUAAGUAUCCAGCAAGAAUGAGCAAAACAUUUCUUUUUUCAUUCAUUUUCCAAGCUGGCUCUAGCACAGAAAACAUCACAGAGCGUAUGCUGCAGAAACAACGUGCCCACAAUUCCUGCACAUUUUUGAAGCAAGGUGGCUGUAAGCAAACACAACUAUUUCCAGGGGAGCAACUUGAUUUGGGAAAGCACCAUAAUACAAAAGCACUGCUUUUCUGAUGGUUGCCCCACGCAUCA
ensembl:lncRNA